UUACGCUUCCAUCCUCCAUAACCACUUCCUGAGAAAGGAGUGGGGACUAAACAUGCACCAAGAACAUCAGAAGAAUGCACAAAUAAUGGAUUGGAAGGGUCAAUAGGAUCAGAGUUAGCACCAGAACCACCAGCAUUCAUGUUAGCAGCCAUGCUCAACAAACGAAUCAAAUCUUUUGGAAAAAAUAUCACCAAACAAUAUUCACAGUCUACACAGUCAAUAUUCUCAAGU
rnacentral:lncRNA from 1 species